GUAGUUCGCGGUCUGGAACGCGGUGAUUUGAAAAGGCAGAGCGGCGAAGAAAACCGACUUUAUGCCAGUUGAGAGAUAAUCACGAAAAUUCCUGCAAAGAGGACAAGAGGAAAGUUGACCCACGUUUCAUAAGAGUGUACGUAUAAGCUCUCUUGACAGAGAGAAAGAAGGAGUGGGAGCGGAAGAGUUACAAUGAAGCAGCGAGAGGGAGUGGAAACCCGUCAUGCACCACCUACGCGAGGACGGAGAAACCAGGAAGAGAAAGAGAUGCACGAACUGUGUAUACCAGGAACGAAGAAAGCUGACGAGAGAAAGAGAAAGAGAAAGAGAAGGAGAAAGAGUGAAAGAGGAAAAAAUGCGCGGAUUAUGGACAGGGAGGCAGUGACGCUCUGUACCUUCGGCGAUUCUCUUCUGUAGCGUUUUACCUGGGCGAAAGAAGCAAAGAAAAAGCAAGGGAAUAAAGGGACGGUGACGCGCUGCAUGCGCGAGCAAGGAAAGAAAACGCAAGCGAGUAACAAAGAGGCGAGAGAUUCCAGUUUGAUUCGUUAGAUGAGAACGCGUGACGAGAAACCAGCAUGAGUCUGAGAAGAAACAAAAAUUCACGCCGCAAAACCACCGCGCAUUUCUAUUCUUAGAUGAUCGAAAGAGAAAGGAGCCGAGAGAGGAGCGGAACAGGAGCGAGAGAAGGGAAAAGGGAAGCAAACGGAGACGGGAAAGGCCGGUUAACAAGACAGAAGGGAUACCACGACACCGUACGUGGUUCCAUGGUCGUUGGCUGAUACGUCGAAAUGAAAAGAGGAGGCAAGAACCAGAGGGAGAAUGGUUCUCGUAACCACAUUAUCACGGAUUUUCCUGUCGGUUCGUGGCUCGUCAACGAGGACGUGGCUUAAUCCAUUAUGUAGCUACUGUGUUGGCUCUUCAAGGCGGCUUUUCAAGCGUCGCGCACACAAAGACGCGCUUGCACACCCACUCCCGGCGCGGUGGCCUCUUCUGCCCGUCUAUCGUUCGAGCAAACAGUGAUAUUACCCGGCCAACACGACGACCACCACCACAGUCAACGACAGUACCACGCUCGCAAGAAACGCGAAGUCCGCUUUGCGUUCGUCGAGAUAUUUCGUAUAUUUCGGUUCACAAAACCAGAAUGGAAGCUGCAUACAGAAAUAAGAGAAAAGGUGAUGCGCGCAUCCACUCUCACAACGACUCCACUUUCGUUUCUCUGUGGACUUGACUAGAGAAAAAAGUCGGUAUAAAAGGAAACGCUCUAUCCUGCUAUUAUGCUAUACCAAUACGAUGUACCACGUUUCAUUCCUGUUUACUCAAAGGAGGACGCUCCGGUGAAACGAUUCCGUCGAUCAUCGGAAUCCCUGAGAUACGUAACAGGAAGGCACGAAGCAUGCUGUGGCUGUUGUGGAUCUGCCUCGUCAAGGCUAGGCAUCCAAACAAGAUUUAUGCUCGGCAAGGCAAAUACAACCAGCGUCGAUAUGUUUCGACCACGUGUUCGGAUUAUGCAAUAAACGUGACCAUCCUUUCAGAACGUGUCGUCGAAUCGUUUCUACUCUGGUCUUCGGUCUCCAGUUACUUCUGCUGACAAAUCACAAUCUCGAGACACAAGUAAAGAUAGACGUAAGACGUGCGAUCCGCGUAAAGGGACAGAAUCGUAAUUGCAUGUGACGUACGAUUUUGAAGUAGCGGGGGCUGUGGAGAAGGAGGAGGAGAUGAUGGUCGGAAACAAAUUCUGACUCUAAAUUCUCGAGAGGAGGCAAAGUGAGAGCACAAGGGAAAAAGCAGAAAGAGCGAAGUGACGGUACAGAAGCUAGGAAGCUUUUGUACGUUCAGCAUCGAGGGAGAGAGAAGGGAGAGAAAGGGCGAGGCUAAGCCGAACUAAGAAUGCGGGGGAGAGAACAACGUAGAGAGUAGGGCACGGAUGGCGAACAGCUGCCAGGGUCUAUGGUGGCCGUUUUGUGUGAACGUGCCCCCAUAACCCCCAUACUCCCUCCUUGCCCCGCUCUCUCGCUCUGUUGCUCCUACAGCCACUGGAAGCCCUCGUGUAUACUAUACAGUCAUCCAUCUAUCCCUUGCUCUCCCUGCUUUGCAAAGAAUAAAAGCGCGCUCGCGACGCACGUGGAAGUGUACGCCCGCUGUUAAUCUAUGUGUCCAAUCGAACCGAAAAUCUCCACGGAAAAUAUUUCUCCUAAAGGAAAUCAUCGUGGACGAGCAUCGGAAGGACAGCUCUUUCUCCUCGACCAUCGGGCCAACAAUCGCAUGAGGAAUCGUCUUACAAUGAAGAACGUCACGGCGAAACAUCGUUGACGAGCAAAGAAUUAUACAAUGUCAUCCUGGCUGUCGUGUUCGUGAAAAGAUUGCUUCUAGUUUUCCAGAAGCUACGCUUGUCUCGAAAUAUCGCGCAUCGACCAUAGGUCAUCGAAUCGAACGUGAACAUGAUGAAAAUCGUCGAUCACUCUAUGUAUCUGUCUAUCUAUCGAACAAUCUAUGAGAAAAGCAAAAGUAUUACGAACGUAAGUGUUAGAUAACAGCAAGCGACGGCUGUAUCGCGCGUUAGGGCAGCGAUAUCAGCUUCUUAACGCUAAAUCAAUGCUCUUCUCGUCAACCCUCUUUUUCCAUUAAGGCUUUGCCAUGAUCCAAUCUACUCGACGCUGGCUACCGAACGACAAGGACGAUUAAAGGACCCAGUAAACGAGCACUUAUCGCAUCGUCGACUAAAUGAAACGUAGCAGUUUGGAGAAUCGAUCGAUUUCUCGAAAGCAGUCUGAUAGCCGAUUUACAAUUUUACAAAAGACGAAGGGAAGAUUAUUUUGUAACAAUUCCCUUUUUGGAAGGGACAGAAGUAAGAAAAUUCUUCGAGAAAUAAUUUUAUAUUCUUUUAGUAGUAAACGUGAGUUUUGAACGGUAAAUUUUUGUUGAUGCGAGUGACGCAAUAAAUUAUUAUAACGCGAUAUCUCGACAACCAUGGAAGCACCAGUAUGUUGGCGAACACGAUGGAGACACGCAAGAAGAAACAUCGGAGCGCGUCGUUUUGUUCGGCAACGGUAACAUUGUUGAAACAUGAGAAGAUAUUGUCCACUUGACAACGGAGCCAUGGCUUGGAAGAGAAUCACUCUGGGUGCACGUGAUGCCCAACCGAUACACGCCGGCCUCUCUGCCUUUUCGUUCUGCCUCUAGAAGAUGGUCGAUGCCUCGUGCCCGUUCGACAAGUUCUUGAUACACGAGCAAAGUGUCGUUUCGAGAAUCCACUACCAAACUAAAAUACCGGUCUGAAUCGUUCAUCGAACAAAAGAAUUUCGAGCAAUUUCGUGGAGCAAUCUGAAACGAGAAUCGUAGACAAAAGACAAAUGGAGCGAGAAGUCGAAUAGAGUCGAAAAAUAGUUAGGCGAUUGUUUCGCGAGUUCAGUCGCUGCUCAUCGCGCACGGUUGAAUCUCUUCCUUUUCUUUUUUCUUGCACGUUGAAAUUCCAACUCGGAUCUAAAACGAUCGAAACGUUUCGUAACGUUCGCCAGGUAGGCAGCCGAAGAAGGAGAAGAGGAAGAAGACGACGAAGAAACAAAGCAAAUGGAGAAAAAGAAGGUGAACGGAGAACGGGUAGAGGGGGGCUUUCGAGAAGUAGGAGGAGGAGGCGAUGGUGGUGGAGGAUUGAAAUGGACGAAGGGAGGUUCGAGAAAAGGCAGUCCUCGGGGCUCCUUGUCCCCGACGUUUAAUUUCAGGCAGUCGAAGGAGCUCGUAACAUCUCCGCCGUGUUUAAUAUCGAGAAGAGGGCCUUGGGAAGAAGAUGCCCGUGAUCAACCCAGAACCAGUUCUCGCGCCUUAAACGGACGGUUCUCACGCAUUUAUGGCCCUUCAUCACGCUUUCCAUUCGACCUAAUUGCCGCAAUCGAGCUCCGUGAGAACCACUGUCUCUCGUGUACCGUUUUGCAGGAAAUUGGAAUACCUACAUCGCGUAAUCGCGCCAAAAUCGAACCGCUGUUCCAACGAUUCGAAACAGUUUCGUUCAAAAGACGAUAACGAGACACGACAAACGACCGGUUAUUUAAUAAGAACGAAGAAAGGGAAACGAUCAUCAAGUUGUAGAGAUUGCGGUAAAUACUAUCAACGAUAAUGCGAAACAAAAGAAACUAGAAUUGAAUAGUGUUUAUCGCGUAACAAUGGUUGAGAAUUACUGCUCGUUACGAGAUACGAUCGUUUCGUGAUCAAUAAUACGACCGUACAACCGGUAUAAAAGAAGGCGACUCGGUUAACUUGAACGUUAAUGAGUCAUUCGAGAGUUGUGUUUGACACGUAUCCGAUACUUAAUUACAUCGCUCUACCGAAUAGCGUUAACUUUUAACAAAUUUACCGGCCGUGUAACAAUUACUCGUGUACGAUGAGUCCGAUUUUUCCUGGUCACCGUUUUCUUUUCUUCUGGUUACAUAUUUCACUACGUAGUCGUCGCUACGCCUCUACUCGUCAGCUAUGAACGCGACUCUCGAAACGUAAGACUGGAAACCGAGGUUUACGCUAGCGGAACAAAGAAAGUCAAUGCCGUGACGUUUCCACGAGCUUUUUUACGGUUUACUCUAAAUCCCGUUACGCGAGAUUUCGCCUCGAUCGCGCUGAAUUAUUAAAAAGAUGCGACAAACCGUAUCGAAACCGGGUCGAUAACCGGCGCUCUAUACGUCCAAUCGAACAAAGACCGAACUCGCUGCGAGUAACAAUCGCAAGAAUUCGACGCCAGCCAGCCUCCCGUUCCACGUAAAACCGUAAUCUCCGAACCGACUCUCGUUCGUCGUAAAGUGACGAGAAAAUCGCGACUAUUCAUGCUUGACCGCUCCGGAAUAUGAAAUUUUAUUUCAUCGUCUGCGCUGCGUUUCUCUGAUCGCGAUCGUUCCCAGUUAAAGAAGAAUGUACGUAGCCAAUUACCACGGACGAAGGAAAUACUACCGUUUAAUCGGAUCAUCGUUUAAUGCGUAAUCGGAAUGGUAUUUAACCCGUUCCCGUAUACCAAAUCACACACUCGUGACUGAUUAUAGUUAAAUCAGCAACAAGUAAAAAUUAUAUUCUAACCGAAUAUCUGUUUUCAUUUGAAACUUUAUUUCACUUCAUAAAAGAAUAAAUCGAGCAAUGUAAUAUAAUAUACGAUAGUCAUAGCCAUUGUGCGUUAAAUAUAAAUAGUCAAGUUUAACGAAUAUAGCCAUAAGACAAAUAAGAAGGCAGGGAAUUCACGCAACAUUGUAUCGUAAUUUGAUAGCUUUAUCGUUAUUUCGGGUUUUUUCUUCGUCGUACGAUUCCGUAGUCGAGGAGUACCCCAGCUCGCCGACACGAAAGUCGUCGUCGAGGAAAAAGAAGGUAUACGCCAGGGGAUAGAGAGGAUACCACUCGAAUAGGAACCGGAACUCACGGUCCGUGCUCAGAAUUGACUACACGAUUGCACAUGUACAGCCGUGCAUAUGAAUCAGAUAAAAGAGUGCCAGAGGAGUUCUUAGGAGCGCAACGGGCGGAGAGAGUUUAUCGGCUCCGUCAUUGAUUUCUUUGUCGCGCGAAGAUAAAUCUCCGUAUCAUAUCAAGGGAAGAGAACACGCGCGCUCGCACGAACACGCACCCAUUGGUCAUUGAAGGCGAGUACUUUCAAAACCGUAGAGACCAAAUCGAAAAUCGUCUAACAAGUCGAGACCCAACGAUUGAUAACAGAGACUUUCCAUCUAGCGAGCAUCGCGAUGUUGCACUGCCGACUUUACAGUCUAUCGCAUUCGUAUAAACACUACCGGCCUUUUAACUUACUGCGCCGUUAUCUAGAGCGAAUCUCCUGCUCCGCGAAUAAUUCGACGUA